rnacentral:lncRNA from 1 species
AUAGGACACAAUUGGAGAAACUCGUUAUUUUACCAAGGCCUUGACUAGAAUGGUGUGCUUUCCUUUAAAGAAUCAAAUUUAACUUGUAGAACCAAUAAAAAGCCCUUGGGAAAACUGGCCUUAUACAUUGUCUACACAGUCCCUGUACAGGGUUCCUGACCUACAUGAUUUCUGGCUGCUGCUCAGGAGAAACAGGAGAGAUGCAUAAUGUAAAAAUAUGGAUCAAUAUUCUAAUUCUGAGCAUGUUGGAAUCAGCUAGCAACCCAUAUCAGCUUGGUUUCAACAAUUGCCCAGUUCAUGGCAUGUCCUCCACCUUGGUAAAAUAGAUCUCUGAAUCCACUGAGAUCUGCCUCAGUCACUUUUUGGAUUACAGGUGUAUUAGUCUGUUUUCACAUUGCUAUAAAGAACUGCUGGAGACUGGGUAACUUAUAAACAAAAAAGGUUUAAUUGACUCACAGUUACUCGUGGCUGAGGAAGCCUCAGGAAACUUACAAUCCCGGUGGAAGGUGAAGAAGAAGCAAGCACCUUCUUCACAAGGCAGCAAGAGAGAGAAAAGGAGAGGGGGUGAACUGCCAAACACUUUAAAACCAUCAGAUCUUGUGAGAACUCACUGAGUAUCAUAAGAACAGCAUGGAGAAACUGCCCCCAUGAUCCAAUCACCUCCCACCAGAUCCCUCUCUGGACAUGCAGGAAUUACAAUUCAAGAUGAGAUUUGAGUGGGGACUCAGAGCCAAACCAUAUCAACAGUAUAUUCUAUUAAUUCAGAAUCACUUGUUGAAAAGCAAAAUUGUUUGCCCAGUAAAUUGUAGUUGUGUAGUUGUCAUAAAAUUAGGUGACUAGAUGUAUGUGUCAGUUUCUGGUCUCCGACCUCUCUUCUAUAGAUAUAUCUGUCUAUCCUCACAGUAAUACCACUGUAGUCUAGAUGUCUGGAAGUAUAACUUCCAGGUUUGACUUUCUUCAAGGCUAUACAAGGUUCAAAACAGUAUCAAAAUCCAGAGGUAGAAGGCAAGUUUGUGAUGAGGUGCAGGGCCACAUCCAGAUAGGGCUAAUCAGGAGUUAGUACUGACCAGGAUUUGAUGUUGACCUUAUAACAGUGAAUUAAGUUUUAAAUAUGAGAAGGUGGGUUGUCUUAUCUGUUUUUAUUACUCUCUCUGUUCCUCAGUUUUUUAUUCAGUGUAACACAUAGGAAAAGUAUAUUUCUUAUUUGAUUAUUG